rnacentral:rRNA from 1 species
GACGAACGCUGGCGGCGUGCUUAACACAUGCAAGUCGAACGAAGCUUGACUACGGUUUUUUCGGAUGAGGUUUGAUAUGACGGAGUGGCGGACGGGUUAGUAACGCCUGAGUAUCCUGCUAUUCUGAGGGGGAUAGCGUUUGGAAACGAUCGGUAAUACCGCAUAAUGUAUUUUGAUGGCAUGAUCGAGAUACUAAAGAUUUAUCGCUGACGGAUGGACUUGCGUCUGAUUAGGUAGUUGGGGAGGUAUCGGCCUAGCAAUCCGACGGUCAGUAGCCGGAGAGGGAGGUUGGUCGGCCAGGUACGGACUGAGGCACCGCACAGACACCUACGGGAGGCGGCAGUAAUGGAGCACGCACGAUGGGCGCAAGACUGAUGCAGCAACGGCGCGUGAAGAAAGACGUUUUUCUGAAUGUAGACUUCGGUUGUUAGGGAGGGAUAGUGACGGUAGCGAAUAAGCAAGCCACGGCUAACUACGUG